GCUAUGACAGCCAAGCGGUUACGGUGUUGGAGUUAAAAUCCAAUAGGGUGUCCCUGCACAGGUUCAAAUCCUGUUCACAGUG
rnacentral:tRNA from 1 species